AAGACUAUAGACCUGCGGAGUACCUGCGGAAGGAUCAUUUCUGAGGAGGGAUUAACAAAGACUUGUGUGGGUCUGUGAUGGGCUCCACAAGUGGAUAACCUAAACACAUCUUCCGAUUGAACAUGGCAUUUGUCUGAUCUUGGAUAAUUAUUUGAUAAAACUUUCAACAAUGGAUCUCU
rnacentral:misc_RNA from 1 species